UGUUCGAGCGUCAGUACAACCCUCAAGCUCUGCUUGGUCUUGAGCCCCGCCGGCAACGGCAGGCUUUAAAAUCAGUGGCGGCUCCGCCUGGCUCUCAGCGUAGUAAUACACCCCGCUACAGAGUCCCGAUGGAUGCCUGCCAGCAACCCCCAACUUCUAAGUUUGACCUCGGAUCAGGUAGGGAUACCCGCUGAACUUAA
rnacentral:misc_RNA from 1 species